GGCAAAGGUGAGGCAAGGCGAGGCAAUGCGAGGAGAGGCACGGCAAGGCAAGGCGAGUUGAGGCGAGGUGAGGCAAGGCAAGGUAAGGCGAGACGAGGCGAGGCGAGACGAGGCGAGGCGAGGUGAGGCGAGGCAAUGGCGCAACGAGGCGAGGAGAGGCAAAGGCAAGGUGAGGCUAGGCAAAGGAGAGGCGUGGCGAGGAGAGGCUAGGCAAGAUGAGAAUAGGCGAUGCGAGGCGAUGCAAGGCAGGGCGAGG
ensembl:lncRNA